GAACAGACUAUUACAUUCUCCCUGUGAACCUGAACUUGGGUUGCUUUUCUUGUAAGCGAGAGGUGUAUGGGUGCAGGAAACAAGAAGUUGAGAGGGGAGCUGGAGACAGCUCAGCGGCUGAGGGGGCUUGCUGUGCGAGCAUGAAGACCUGAGUUCAAAUCUCCAGGACCCAGAUGGAAACGUUGAGACUUGAAGAACAAACAGCUCAUGAUUGUGUAAGUAGUGAAGGACAAAGCUGAAAUGAGUGAAACUGGACUCUUCACACCAGAAAAGCCUGCUUUCUGCGUGGGCCACCCAGACUUCAGAGAGUGAGACUGAUAAGAAAGCCAAGAGACACACAUGGGGUCAUGAAAAGCCAUGGGAAGGUCCCACCUGUCAUACAUUUCACUGCCUGGAGUCAGCUGGUGACGAAGCACUGUAGUACCCAUUCCCGUGGAGUAGCUACAAACAUGUCCAGCUACAGAGCUACAGAACUGAAGUCACCCAAGUUCCGUUCCUCUGGCUCUAAAAUCACUCGGUUACUGGUUUCUUUCCCUAAUGCUGGGGUAAACACACAUCUCCGAGUUCAGCCAAAUUAGCUUCCACAUGUCACCUGACAUUGAUAAAAGAAACAGUUAAAAAACGA